GGAUUUAGUCUCUUUCGCUUUCUCCCAUAUCUCCAAUUCUCAAGCAAUACAGUUCGGUAAUAAGCAAUGAAACAUAAUUAACGAAAACACACUUCUUAUGUUACAGUUGGUUGGACCGGCAUACUAUGGAAAUCGCCGGCGAUGAGAGAGAAUGCUAACAACUUAUUGCGUUACAGGAUCCGUCGCCAUUCUGCCAUACCAAAUAAGUUAUCCGGUGGUUCAUGAACAAUAGGGAAGUUUUCUUAUCGUUUCUAAUGACGAUUAAAGGAGAAAAAUAAAAAUCCAAGAACCAUGUAGGCGGCUUUGUCUUCCACUUCUCUAAUCCUCUCAUUGUAUAUAAUUCUCGUCACAACCUCAGUUCCCGCAAUUCUGUCGUUUAUUACGUCUUCCUCCAUGAAACUCCUAAUUUAGCAGGCCGGUGGAGAAGGGCUUAUAAGAAGAAUUAAGAGAGGCAUCAAAACUCAUUCUUUCUUCAAGGAUCAAUUACAGGAAUUAAAGAAUCAAAUUACGGGCAUAUCCAUUCUUCUGAAUCUACAAGAAGCAUUUU
rnacentral:misc_RNA from 1 species